rnacentral:rRNA from 1 species
UACGUAGGUGGCAAGCGUUGUCCGGAUUUAUUGGGUUUAAAGGGUGCGUAGGUGGUCUAUUAAGUCAGUGCUGAAAUAUCCCAGCUUAACUGGGAGGGUGGCAUUGAUACUGAUGGACUUGAGUAAAGUUGAGGUGGGCGGAAUUGACGGUGUAGCGGUGAAAUGCUUAGAUAUCGCCAAGAACACCUAUUGCGAAGGCAGCUCACUAAGCUUUAACUGACACUGAGGCACGAAAGUGUGGGGAUCAAACAGG